UACAGAGGUCCCGAGCGUUGUUCGGAUUCAUUGGGCGUAAAGGGUGCGCAGGCGGCGUGGAAAGUUGAGUGUGAAAUCCCGGGGCUUAACCUCGGAACUGCACUCAAUACUCCCAUGCUAGAGGACUGUAGAGGAGAUCGGAAUUCACGGUGUAGCAGUGAAAUGCGUAGAUAUCGUGAGGAAGACCAGUUGCGAAGGCGGAUCUCUGGGCAGUUCCUGACGCUCAUGCACGAAGGCCAGGGGAGCAAACGGG
rnacentral:rRNA from 1 species